rnacentral:lncRNA from 1 species
AGUGUCAUAUUCUUCUUCUUUCGAAUGAAUGAACCUUUUGAGUCUAAAGGUUUGCCACACUUCAGGCGUGCAACAGAUAAAUCAUUUACUGCCUCAUUAUAUUUUGUCCAACAGGGACAUCAAUUCUUGUAGGCACAUUUGCAGCAAGUGUAUAUGAUUUCAUCACUUUCGUUGUAUCAUUCAAUUAUUCUUACUUCAUUUUCUCAUUGAUUGCUUCGUGAAUCAAAAUAAGACAAAUUUUCUUCGUUCUUCUGGAACGGUCUUUUCUUAUCAUUCUUCUGGAAUGAUAUUUUCUCAUCGUUCUUAUGGAACAAUGUUAUUUUCUCCCCCUAAUGGUGGGAAAACUGUCUUAUCAUAGUCCGCAAAUCAUGCGGUAAAUAUAUCCCCAGUCAAGGGUUCCAAAUGUUGAAUGAUAGAUGGUGGAUCGAAUUCAACAUAAAUUCCCAGUUUGUAUUGAUGCCUUAUUUUAGUGUGUUGUGGCAGUCUUAC